GCCGGCCUAGCUCAACUGGCAGAGCAACUGAUUUGUAAUCAGUAGGUUGGGGGUUCAAGUCCUCUGGCCGGCA
rfam:Halobacillus mangrovi strain KTB 131, complete genome.